rnacentral:rRNA from 1 species
UGUUGCCCGAACCUAUGUUGCCUCGGCGGGCCCCGCGCCCGCCGACGGCCCCCCUGAACGCUGUCUGAAGUUGCAGUCUGAGACCUAUAACGAAAUUAGUUAAAACUUUCAACAACGGAUCUCUUGGUUCCGGCAUCGAUGAAGAACGCAGCGAAAUGCGAUAACUAAUGUGAAUUGCAGAAUUCAGUGAAUCAUCGAGUCUUUGAACGCACAUUGCGCCCUCUGGUAUUCCGGAGGGCAUGCCUGUCCGAGCGUCAUUGCUGCCCUCAAGCCCGGCUUGUGUGUUGGGCCCCGUCCCCCCCGCCGGGGGGACGGGCCCGAAAGGCAGCGGCGGCACCGCGUCCGGUCCUCGAGCGUAUGGGGCUUCGUCACCCGCUCUAGUAGGCCCGGCCGGCGCCAGCCGACCCCCAACCUUUAAUUAUCUCAGGUUGACCUCGGAUCAGGUAGGGAUACCCGCUGAACUUA